CCACGCUGUUGGCCCGGCCAUCUCGCGUGUGCGCGAAGCCGGCGGGGACAGUCCGGGGACGCGGUCGGUUGAUAAACGCAGAGCAGCACCGCGUUGCUCUGACUCCGGGGAAGUUAACAAAAUACUGAUUGUGGGGAGCGUUUAAAGGGCUACGCGCGGAGAGCGGGUUUUGCAAGCGAAGCCCCCCGUAGGUACACAAAGGUGUAAGUCAUGGGGGCGUGAUACAGCAGUGCGUCUGCUCGUGGGCUUCCCUGAGUUCGCAGUUUGAAAAACCUCGUGAACUUUGGGGAAAAAAGAGGCGUUUGUUUUUUAACCCAACAGGGGAAAAAAAAAUUCGAAAGAGCCUGAAAAAGUUCAAUUAGAAUAGCAGCCACAUUUCAGCAGUUCCCAGAUUUUGCAAUGUUAAACUGUGAGGGUUUGUGCCAGAUUUUAAGGCAAGAACUCUUACUGCCAAAUCACAAAUUUCUCAAAAUGAGGGGUGUUCAACCAGAUUGCUGCCAGACCCCAUAAACAGGCACUAACAGCAGUGCUAUAAUUACACCUUAUUAUCUCCCUGCAGCCUUACCCGAUCACUGCCGAAUGAAAUCUCUUCCCGGCUGUCACUGGCUGGCCUUUUUCUGAGGCUGAACAAGCACACGCUCCAUGCCUCAGUUGAUCCAACUGUGUAACCCGUCACCCCUCCCGCAUUCUCUAGUUGUCGUCGGAGCAGAGAGGUCAUCUUCACCCUAGCUUCCCUAUGGGACUGAGAGAUGAAGAUGAAAACAGGAUUUGACACGACCUAAACUACUUGUCCACGUCCCUGUGGAGUCUACACAGUGGGCCUUACAACAGAACCAAACAGAAAUCUGUGGAGGCCUUGACGUUUGGGAGGACUCUGUAGAAAACUGCUCUAUGACCAGGACGGAAAAAUUUGUGUUUCCGGAGACUUUUAAGCACAAGAGAUUGGCCAUGCAAACCACUUCAUUGUUUUGGUGAGAUCUGGGAGACAUUUACUCACGUUUGUCUGAAAGUUUUUUUCAACAGGAAGAAAAGGAAGCGACCGUGCUGGAACCUCUCCAGAUAGGUCCUAACCCUUCCAGCCUUCACUCUCCCCCCUGACUCACAAUUCUACCCAGCGAUCGUGCUGGAAUCUCUCCAGAUAGGUCCUAACCCUUCCAGCCUUCACUCUCCCCCCUGACUCACAAUUCUACCCAGUGACCGUGCUGGAACCUCUCCAGAUAGGUCCUAACCCUUCCAGCCUUCACUCUCCCCCCUGACUCACAAUUCUACCCAGCUCCUCACCGGCCGCAGAUUGAGGGUCACUCAUUCACAAAUGACUUGGAGCCUCCUUCUGAAUGUCAGUUUCCUCAUAAAGGCAAGCCUCACCGCCAGUGCUCAAGGAAUCCAGGCUUGUCAAGGUGCGGGCUUAAACCCGAGUGUCCGAAAUAGCCUCUUCUCUGCUUCACCUUUACAUUCGCUCGCAAGGCGCGGAUGGUCCUCACAGCUGCUCUUUACUGUGUGUGAGCCAGCCCUGGGCUGAGCCCUUUAUGAAGACCUCCUCCUAACAGGCUUCGGAAGUGGGUGCAGUUGUUACCGCUAGCUAACAGGUGAGGACUUCGCACAGAUUUAAGGAGCUGGCCCGACAUCCCCCAUGCUGGAAGCAACAGAGCUAGGAUUUGAACCCAGGGCUUUUCCUGGGUGAACACGUCUCGUCGCUCAAGCUGUCAGUUCAGCUGUCCAUAGAACGAAGAGUCGUCAUUAGCUCCCCACACCGUGCAGCCAGAAUAUGCCCGACGUGGUCGAGUCCUGGCCUUCUUACCUUCGGAACUCCAGCAAAGUGAGAUCUGUUGAUAUCUGCUUAGGGAAAGCAUUCCCAAAUCAGAUGACUGUCUUGGAAACCAGCCUCAGGCUGUCAGCAUAUGCAUCGUGGGCGCUAACCAGGACAGACACAUCCAAUCUCGCUGGGUAAUAAUGUUUCAGAACAUGCCUCUUUCUCGUUGUGAGGAAGCAAGAUGGUCACAGCGUGAUUUGGAUUCUCUGAUGUUGGACAAGGUGAAAAUCAGGAGGGCAGUGGGAAGAGAGGAGGCGAGGGAAGUGGAGAGAAUAAACAGUGUGUGCAGGGAGGUCAGGACUGCCUGCGGAGUGAGGGUCCGGGUCGGGCAGUGUAUGGCUGUUAUGACGGGACUAGAGAGGGCAUGAGCGUGAGAGCUGGCUGGCCGGCGGCGUGGCUGAGAUGGUUGGAUUCCAUUUGGCCGGCUUCAUCCUAACAGCCCCCGACCCACUUGAAAAACUUACUGAUUGGGGCUAGCAGGUGGCAUGGUGAUUAAGGCCCAGGACUCCUACAUGGCAGACUGUGGUUCAAGUCCUGCACCAGGUAGAUUGACACUCACACCAGGCACGUGUGUGUAUGUC